rnacentral:antisense_RNA from 3 species
AAUAAUGGUGGCUCAGGUGGGGGCUUCGAAAGAAGCACCGGUUUUCCUAGUGUGUCCGGUACGCUAACCCCGUCUGAGCUGCCACCCAA